CUAAGAAUCUUCCGCAAUGGGCGAAAGCCUGACGGAGCGACACCGCGUGAAUGAUGAAGGCAGAGAUGUUGUAAAAUUCUUUUAUCAGGGAGGAAUAAGCCGAUGAGGAAAUGCUUCGGUGAUGACGUUAUCUGAUGAAUAAGCCCCGGCUAAUUACGUGCCAGCAG
rnacentral:rRNA from 1 species